rnacentral:rRNA from 1 species
UGAGCGGCGGACGGGUGAGUAACGCGUGGGUAACCUGCCUCAUACAGGGGGAUAACAGUUAGAAAUGACUGCUAAUACCGCAUAAGACCACAGCACCGCAUGGUGCGGGGGUAAAAACUCCGGUGGUAUGAGAUGGACCCGCGUCUGAUUAGCUGGUUGGUAAGGUAACGGCUUACCAAGGCGACGAUCAGUAGCCGACCUGAGAGGGUGACCGGCCACAUUGGGACUGAGACACGGCCCAAACUCCUACGGGAGGCAGCAGUGGGGAAUAUUGCACAAUGGGGGAAACCCUGAUGCAGCGACGCCGCGUGAGCGAAGAAGUAUUUCGGUAUGUAAAGCUCUAUCAGCAGGGAAGAAAAUGACGGUACCUGACUAAGAAGCACCGGCUAAAUACGUGCCAGCAGCCGCGGUAAUACGUAUGGUGCAAGCGUUAUCCGGAUUUACUGGGUGUAAAGGGAGCGUAGACGGAUGGGCAAGUCUGAUGUGAAAACCCGGGGCUCAACCCCGGGACUGCAUUGGAAACUGUUCAUCUAGAGUGCUGGAGAGGUAAGUGGAAUUCCUAGUGUAGCGGUGAAAUGCGUAGAUAUUAGGAGGAACACCAGUGGCGAAGGCGGCUUACUGGACAGUAACUGACGUUGAGGCUCGAAAGCGUGGGGAGCAAACAGGAUUAGAUACCCUGGUAGUCCACGCCGUAAACGAUGACUACUAGG